GUCCGGAGCCUGUGCUCCACAACGGGAGAGGCCACAGCAGUAAGAGGCCCACGUACUGCAAAGAAAAAAAAAAAUUAUAUUCCUAAGGCACCCCUUAUGUGGGACCUACAUUCUGUUGAGUAGAGAAGUAUUGUAGUAAUGGGUACCAAUGCUGAACAGGUUUUCCUAGCAUGUUAUAUAGUUCAUGCAACCUAAUCCAAGAUGUUAGGCUCUUAUUUUUCACUUUCUGUGUUGCUGCUUCAAGGUUCUCUACAUCAGGUCGGUUGAUGUUUGUUUAGUUGGGUGUUUGGUUUUUGCCGGUUGAUGUUUGUGUGUAUGAAUUUUUUGAAAAGAAUUCCAGGUUAUUAAAGAGAGGAUGAGAGCGGAACGGUUUGCAUGAGUUAUGAAAAAGCACUGCUUAGUUUAUUCACUCUGCCGCUGUGCCGGGGAAGCACUUCCGUUAGGCUGGGAGGAAACAGAGCAACUGCGUUUCGCCUUUGAGACAGAAUCAAGUCCCUGAGCGGCAGAACUGCAAGUAGGGCUUUUGUUGCUUUAAUCCUCUGACACGUCCAUGCGUUGUCCAGGCAGACGGGACCUUUGGAGGGUAAAGGACCAUUGAUCUCCCCGUUUCUUUUAGCAUCAGCCACAACUUGUUCGUUUGGGGCAAGAAUGCUAGUCAGCCCCGGGAAGGUUGAGGAGGACCAUUCUCAGCACCCUCUGCCCCAGACAUAGUCCCUAACCCACACUGUACCCGAAGCUGAGGAGAGAGUAUGGCGGGGACUGUCGUCUCUGCCGGCCCCUGACUGAAGUCAGCAUGUCCUGGGGCUGGUCUUAGAAGACAGCCACCAUGUGGCUGCAUAAGACAAAACCCAGUUUGGAAAAACGUUGCUUCCCAGUAGGGUAAAGGAGACGGCAUCUGAGGCAUGGGCCGAGGUGUGUUGUGAGGGGCUCGGCGGAGCCAUAAACACGAAUACACCUCUCAGAGCCGCUGCCAUCCUCCCUGUCCCCUGUGCCACCCAGGAAGCAACCUGGUUCAGCAGGACAGGAAGAUGCAAUUCCCGUGCCCCGUCCACUCUCCUCUUGGCCGAGAGGCUGCUGACUGUGAUGCUCUCUUUGUGGAGGGACCACCUGUCUAAUGGGAACUGGAUUGUGACCACCAGUUCAUUUGACAGAGGCCGCCACACAGCUGCCAGAUGGUGACAGUCCUUAGCUGUUUUGCAAGUCCAAUGUGGGUCACGUUCCCCUCUGGAGGUAGACAACGGAUGGUUCCCUCCACCCAGCCCACGUGCUUGCAAAAGGCCGGGCUUCCAAGAGCCAAGGCUUUGCUCUCAUCUCCUUGAAGGUAGAAAAAGACUUAAGGAAAUGUAAUGAAUAAAGACACAUUUUUUUAAUCGGCUUGCUGGGUUUUCCUCUCUUCCUAAUUGUUCUCUAAUCUGUACUUAGGAGCACGGUGUUGAAGUGGGACAUGUCAGGCUUUUACGCCACAGAUUCAAACUCCCAGGCAAAUAAAACUGUGACAGCUUGAGAGGCAGGGAAGGCCUCCGGCCACUGGCAGAGUUCGAUUAUCCGACCUGGACUCGGGAGUAGUCGGGGGGCCUGCACGUAGCUUCAGGAUGCCCUGCCGGGACGGCUCAGCAGAUAGGAGGGGACCUGCCUCUCCGUGGCCUUCUCUUCACCUGCUGUAUCAGCUGAAGAGCCGCACGAGGACCUGUACAACUACUGGUCAGACGGCCCUAGCAACACAAAAUUCUGUGUCGACACAUAGCCCAUCACGUGUUUGCGAUGAAAACGCUAUAUUUUUAGAACACUUCAAAGUGAGGAAACCGUUAGAGCCCUAUCACAUCCUCCCCUUGCCCUCCGGCCACUUCCUCUGCACCCCCCAGGAAAAUCACCCCCACUUUCUAGAAGAGGAGCCAGAGACAGAGAUUAAGUGCUACUUUGAGCAAAGCUGAUGAUGCCAGGGAAAAUUGCUGAUCUCGUCUUAAAAAUCUAACACACGCUUUGGGGUUGUUUUUCUAAGGCUUCUUACUCCUUUUACCUACACCAUGUGGGUUCCAUAUGACCUUGAAUCUAAGCCUUAAUAUUGCAUGUGGAGUUCAAAAGACAACUCGGUCUCCCAUUUUCUUUCGUGGCAUUUAUUCAAAUAAUAAUAGGCACAUAAUACUGUCUUGUAAAAAUCAAAGCUCCAGGCACACUCUGAAAGUCUUUUAGAAUUUCUAACACUUAUUUCAUAAGUGUCUUUCAUGCAACUCGCUGAAACUGCUCGUUAGCAGACGAUAUCUUUUGUAUCUCUGCAAUUCCCGUGCCUAGCUCAGUGCCUGGCAUGGGCUAGGCGAUCAAAAUUAGCUGUGGAUUGGGUAAGUGAAUAUUACCUCCUUGGGGCCCCACGCUGACUUACCCAUUUUUACAGAGUUACUGCUGAAAAGCAGAGAGAGGUCUUCAUCCAUCCCUAGAACAUGUUUUGAGAGCCUUAUGUGCUAGGCAGUGUGCAGUGUACCAGGGAUACAAACACAAAAGGCAUAGCCCAUGCCCAUGGGGUACUCAGAGUCUACAGAGGGGUGGUGUGGGUGCACAAAGGCUGUGUGUGUAUGUGUGUAGUGGGGAGAGAGUCUAUAAUAUUCUUCCUUUUUUCCCCUGAAAGCUCUCUGACCAAUUAAAGUUAAGAAUGACAGCAGUGUACAAAUAGGGGGAGGGACUUCUGAGUUCUCCGACUCGUAUGGCAUCCUGCCAGGUACGUGCUCAAGACCAAGCCUUCAGCUAGGAAGGCCUGUCAGGUGUUGGGAAGAGCUGUGCCCACCAUCAGCUCUCAGCACUGUUCCAGAACAAGAAGCAUCCACUCUGUCCCCACUCAUCCCCAAGUCAUCUCUGUCCACACCCCCAAAUUCACAGGGCUUGGGUGUUUCUUAGAUGAGGCUAUGUUUAUUAGUCCAUUUAUGGUCCUCAGUCGUUUGGGGCCGGAAGGAAAGAAAAGUAGAUCAAGUAAGUGAGAGCGUUUUGUAAAUUUUCCAAGUCCACAUGAACGUGAGGUGUGAUGCUUAGGUGUGUGUAUUAGGUGUGCUUUUCCUGGUUUAGGCUGAUCGCCAUGGAGUGUUUAGCUGUUGUGUACUCUUUGCCUGCAAGAUAAAAUGCCACCUUGCAGUCAAACGCUAUGGAAUUGGAUGGUGGUAGAACAAAAAGACAGCGAGGUGCAGGGGUGAAGAACAGGCCUUGGCCAUUAAGUGCCUACAUUCUGACCCCCACACACACCUUUUUUCUUUGUGUCACCUGAUGCCUCCAUGCCCGUUUCCUUGUCUGCAAGAUGAAUAGGGCUGUUAGGCAGAUGCAAUGAGAUCAUACAGAUAGAACACUAAGAACAACAUCCAGCGCGCAGUAAGCUGUUGUUCUUCCCAGUCUACUCUGGAUGAGAAAACUGAAGCACAGAGAGGUUAGGUGAGCAUCACAGUUCAACAUGGUCUCCCAGCAGCACCUGUGCAUGCAGCCCACAUUCAAAACAAACUGGCCUUUCAGUAAAAGCAGGAUCGGUUCUCAGUAGUAUUGACCAUAGUAGCAACAACAACUAGUAUUUAUGCAGAGUACUUGAUAUGUACCAGCUCCUACACUAAGGGCUUAAUAUACAGUAUCUUGUUUUAACAUAUAUUCUCCCAACAGUCUCUUGAGGCAAGUACUAUUUAUUGAGCCCAUUUUAUAGCAAAGAAACCUAAACUUACAAAACAAACACAUGUAAAUAAGUGGCAGACAGGGAAUUGAAACCUAAGUAGUUUGUCUUUAGAGUCCAUGCUCCUAACCAUUACACUGCCCUGCUUCCUGGGUUCCUCCAGCACUCUGGAUGUGCCUCUAUUCUUGGUACUUACAAUUACUAAAUUAUAAAUUGUAAUUGAAAUUACUAAUUGAAAUUGUGUUUUUUUCCCCCCAAAAUGUGUACCCCCCUGGAGUGUGAGUUGACUUUGACAGCUCUGCAUGCCUGCCAUUUGGCAAAGUGUGUCGUAUCCAGUGGGUGCUUAAUAACGUUUGUUGAAUGGUAUUGAAUUAUUUCCUGAACACUCCUUGGAUAUCGGCUCCCAUGCCUUGAGUCCUUCCCAUUUCCUCUAACUAGAAGUAUUAUUUUUUCUUUUCCCAAUUCCGAUUGUUCAUAUUCUGGCCUUUCAAAGUCUAGUGCAAAUACCAUUCCAUCCAUAAAGGCUUCUUCUGGACACCCCAUCAAAGAGUAAUGUCCACUCCACUGAAAUUCGCAUGGCAUUGUGGCCCCCUCUCCCCAUGUGCAUUGCUUUCUGUGUCAUGCUGCAGUAGGGUUUGCACUGGUCUUAACAGAACUUGAAGCUUCUGGAAGUCGGGAGUUAUUCAAGUCAACUGGUAUACCUCAUAGACCCUCAUAGAACUUAAUACAGUGCCUUAAAACCGUAAUGAACACUGGUUGAGUGACUGAGUGCAAAACGUUCAAGAGAAAGGGAUAUUUUCCCCACCAGGUGAUUCUACCCUUUUUGCUUCUUUUUCUUUUCAUGGCACAUUGAAGUAGAGUGCCCCAUCACAUUCCCAGUUUUGAAUCAGCUGGUGGGCAGUCUAUGGAGCGUGAAAAAAUAUUGUUUCAACUGGAGCAAUGGAAGGAAGAGAAUCAUUUUAGGGUGUCACUGUAGUGUGAAAAGCUUUGACAUUUGAAAUAAAAAAAGGAAGGAGAAAAACAGUUCACUGUGUAGUUGGGGUCUCUUGCCAGCAAAGACUUGGGCACGCUCUCCAGGCACGGCGGCGUGCUCACCUGAAACCCCGCCAGACUUACAGAUGUUUCCUUUGGCUCUGGUGUGAUGAGCCACAGCGCAGUUCUCAGGAACAGUUCCAUUCUGGCAGGGAUGGAUGUAACAGGGAGUGGGGCAGCAAGCAGAGGAAUGACUUCAUAGGUCUCCUCCGUUCCGAGUCUCUUAGAUCCUGUGGUGUGCAUUGCCAUUUCCCUUUGAGUGUUCAUACAUCACUUUAUUCACUUAGUGCCAACACAUACACAACCUUUUUAUGAGGCUAUGAAAGCUCCACUUAGCUGAGCACAUUUUUGGAACUCUGAUAAGUUUUACCUCUGGUUGUGAUCCUAGAAAUUCCCCAAAGGUCACACAUAGGUGAAUGGAACUCUUCCAGACUUGGGUUUUCUUCCUUCAAGAUUAUGACACAGAAGAAAAUGUAUCCACCCAAGGGGAAUGAGGGAGGAGUACGAAGUGGAAGAAAGGGUGGAGAGUCCAAAGACUGUGUUUCUUGCCUCAUUUCUACUCCCGGGUCUUAAACUGCCCCUUGGAAUGAGAUGAUCUGGCAGCAUACGGCAUGUGCAAAAUGUGAAUUCACCCACUCUUCUUUGGUAAUCCGUUGCCUGUUAAUGGUGCCAUCUUCCUUCCUCUCAGCUGGUCUCCAGAUCUUCACCUUCACAUCCAAAUCUUGUGAAUUUGAGUCUUUUGUGUUCUCAGAGCUAUUCUCUCCAUUCCUACUACCACUGCUACUUGUACUGCUCUCUUAGGAUAUCGCAAGUAACCUCUCAAUGGUCUUUUCUUCUUAACAGCUUUGUUGAGGCACAAUUAAUAUACAAUAAAGUUCACAUACCGGAAGUGUAAAAUUUGAUCAGUUUUAACGUAGGUAUACACCUGUGAAACCAUCACCACAAUCAAAAUAACAAACAUAUCCAUCACCCCUAAAAAUGUACGCAUCUUCCUUAGAAAUCCCAUCCUCCCUGCCCUGCCCUCCACCACUGAUCUGCCUUCUGUCACUGUAACUUUCCAUUUCCUACAAUCUUAUGUAAUUGCAGUCAUACAGCGUGUGCCUUUUUUUGGGGGGGGGGGGGCGACGGGGCUGGCUUCUUUCACUCUGCAUAAUGAUAUCAAGAUUUAAUAUCAGCAGUUCACUUACAUCAGUAAUGCACUCCUGUUAAUUGCUAAGUAGCAUUCCUUUGAACGAAUAUACUGCAGUGUUUCAGUUCUCCUGUUCGUGGGCGUCUGGGUGGUUUCCAGUUUUUGAUGAUUAACAAAUGAAGCUGUUAUGAACAUUCAUGUUACAAGUGUUUGUAUGCUUUUGUUUCUCCUGGCCAAACAUCUAGGAGUGGAGCGGCUGAAGCUAAUGGUAGGAGUAUAUUUAACUUUUUAAGAAACUGCCGAUGUGUUUUCUACAGCAGUUGUACCAUUUUACAAUCCCACCAGCAGUGUAGGAGUUUCAGUUCCUCCACAUCCUCGCCAACACUUGGUAUAAUCACGGUAUCUAAUUUUAACCAUUCUAAUAGGUGUAAUGAUGUAUGUCAUUGUGGUUUUAAUUUUCAUAUAACUAAAGAUGCUAAGCAUAUUUUUAUGAGCUUAUUUGACACCUGUAUAUCUUCUUUGAACUGUUUGAAUCUUUUCCCAAUCUUGAAUUGGGCUGUUUCCUUACUGUUGAGUUUUGAGACUACAAGUCCUUUUAUCAGAUCAAUGUUUUGUGCAUAUUUGCUGCCAGUCUGUGUCAUGUCUUUUCAUUCUCUUAAUAGUAUCUUUUUAAGAGCCAAAGUUUUUCAUUUUGGUGAAGUUUGUUAUUAAUUUGUUCUUUUACUGAUUGUGCUCUUGGUUUUGUAUCAAGGAAAACCUAACUCACAGUCACAAAAAAAGCGAUAGUUUACUUCCUUUCUAAUGUAGGCACUUUUUUUUUUUCUUGCCUGCUUGCUCUGGCUAAAAUCUCCAGGUCAGAGUUGAAUAGAAGUAGUGAGAGUGGACAUCACCAUCGUGUUGUUGAUCUUAGAAGAAAAUCAUUCUGUCUUUUACCAUUAAGUAUGGUGUAAGCUGUAGGUUUUUCAUAGAUGCCCUUUAUCAAGUUGAGAACAUUCCCUUCUCUUCCUGUUUUGCUGAAAAUGAUUAUGGAGAAUGGAUGUUGGGCUUUGUCAGUUGCUUUUUCCCCAUCUGUCGAGGUGAUCAUAUGGUUUUCUUUUUUAGUUUGUAAGUAUUGUGAAUCACAUUGGUUGAUUUUCAGUGUUCAACCAGCCUUGCAUUGCUAGGAGAUAAACUCAACUUUAUCAUAAGGUACAAUCCUUGUGUUCACUGGAUUCUGUUUGCUCAAAUUUUAUUCAGAAUGUGUACAACUGUAUUCAGAAGGAAGAUUGUUUUGUAGUUUUCUUCUAAUUUCUUUAGCUGAUUUUGGUUUAAUGUAAUCCUGACCUCAUGAGUGAGUUAGAAAGUAUUCCCUCCUCUUCAGUUUCCUGGAAAUGUUAGUUAAGUUGUAUUAUUAUUUUCUUAAGUGUUUGGUAGAAUCCAUCACCUAAGUCAUCUGGAGCUCAAGUUUUUUUUCUGAGAAAAAGAAGGUUUUUAAGCACAAAUUCAUUUUCCUCAGUAUGUAUAAACCUGUAUGUACUAAAUAUAUAUAUAUAUAUUUUUUUACAUAUAAAUGUACCUACAGGUCUAUUUAGGUUGUAUAUUCUUGAGUUUCUCUCCUUUAGAGAAUGUCUGUUUCAUCUAAGUUGUCCAAUUUAUUUGCACAAAGCUGUGUAUAAUAUUACUUUAUCCUUUUACUGUCUGUAGACUAUAGUGAUGUCAUCGCUCUCAUUUCUGAUAUUAAUAAUUUGUGCUUUAUCUCUCUCUUUUCUUCAUAUGCCUUGAAAGUGUCUCAGUUUUAUUUGUCUGCUCCAAGAAGUAGCUUUGGUUUUAUUGAUUUUCUUCGUUGCUUUUGUUUUCUCUAUCUUAUUGAUUUUCACUGAUUUUUAUUUUCUUCUAUUACCUACUUUGGGUUUAAUUUGCUCUCAUUUUUCUAGUUUUUAAAGGUGGAAGCUGAGGUCAUUGAUUUGAAAUCUUUCUUUUCUAAUGAGCAUAUUUACUGGUAUACAGUUAACCUAAGUACUGCCUUACCUACAUCUCACAAGUUUUGAUAUGCUGUGGUUUCAUUUUCAUUCCAUUCAAAAUACUUUCUAAUUUCUUUAGAUUUCUUCUUUGACCUGUGGUUAUUCAAAGUGUGUUAUAUGGUUUCUAAAUAUCCGAGAAUUUUACAGAGAUUAUUCUAUUAUUGAUUUCUAAUUUAAUUUUAUUUUGGUUAGGGAACAUAACAUACCUUGAAUGGCUUGCAGACUUACAAAUUUAUUGAGACUUGUUUGCCCCAUAAUAUGGCCUAUCUUGGUAAAUAUUCCAUGUGCACUUGAAAAGAAUAUGUCUAAUGUUGUUCUUGGACCGAGUGUUCUACAAAUGUCAGUUUGGUUGAUGGUGUUGUGCAGAAGUACCCUUACUGAUUUUCUGUGUAUACUGUCAGUCAGGCUUUUGAAAUCACCAAACAUUAUGGUGGAGUUUUCUACUUCUCCUUGCAAUUCUGUCAGUUUUUGCUUCAUGAAUUUUGCAGUUCUGUUAUUUGGUGCAUAAAUGUUUCGAAUUUUUAAUGUCCUCUGGAUAAAUUGACUUAUUAUUUUGAAAUGAUCUUUAUUUCUGGUAUUAUCCUUUGCUCUGAAUCUAUUUUGACUGAUGUUAAUAAAGCCACUCAAGUUUUCUUUUAACUAGUGUUAUAAAGUGUAUCUUUUUCCAUUCUUUCACUUUUAACCUAUCUGUGUUUGUAUAAUCUAAAGUGCAUUUCUUAUAGAUAGCAGACAGUUGGGUCUUACUUCUUUUUUAAUUACUGUGACAAGUUCUACCUUUUAAUAGAAGUGUUUACAUAAUUAAUAUUUAAUAUGAUUGUUGAUAAAGUUGAGUGUAAAUCUGUCAUUUCACUGUUUACUUUUUAUUUCUCUCAUCUGUUCUUUAUUCUCUUUUUCUGCCUCUUAAGAUUAUUUUUAUUCUGUUUUAUCUCUUUUAUUGGCUUAUUAACUAUCAAACUCUGUUUUGGUAUUUUAGGGGUUGUCUUAGGGUUUAUAGUAUAUAUCUUUACCUUAUUACAAUUUACCUUCAAAUGAUAGUGUAAAACUUCACAUAUAAUUUGAGAAUCUUGCAGUAGUAUACAUCCAUUUUUUUCCCCUCCCACACUUUAUGCUAUUGUUGUCAUAAUUUUGGUUUUACAUAUGUGGUAAAGCCCACAAUACAUAGUUAUAAUUUUUGUUUAGGUGGUCCAGUUUCUUUUAAAGAGAUUUAAGUAAUAAUAAAAAAAAAUCCUACAUAUUUACCCAUGUAGUUACUGUUUCUGGUGUUUUCCAUUCCUUUGUGUAGACCCCUGUUUUCUUCUGGUAACAUUUUCCUUCUGAUGAAAGACUUCAUUAACAUUUCUUAUAAGAAUCCAGCUUGGCGUCCAGGUUGCAUGAUACCUCCAAGGAAGGCAGUAGUAGCAUUGAUCGGCCGUCUCUCAAAGAGCCACUUUUCUUUUAAACAACGCAAGGUGGAAGGACAACAGACUGGCCUCUGGACUGUCAUGCUCAAUGUGCUGAAUAGAAUCUUGCUUCUGUUUGACUGACAUGGUCAGUGGCACGGUGGCGGGGGGCAACUCUUAAAGCUUUAUUCCCAAGUGGGAGUCUGAUACUUAGGCGCAUGUGCGCAAAAUCUGUUCCUGCCUGCUUUACGGGUAGAUAUUUUACUGCGGAUUUUAAUUCAUGCCUUUACGAGGAAACUUCUGUAUCUUUUUGAUGCUGACAGUUUUAUUAAGGCUAUUUCUUUAGGUUUUGUUGUUAUUACUCCAUUAAAAAUGUAUUGUUGUGGCAGCUUUGAGGCGGUUGCAAAAUACUCCUUUUUUUUUUUUUUUUAUACACAAGCUGGAUUAAAAUGUACGGUAACUGUCACCUGGUAACCAGACCCCAUAUAACUGUGUCACCAUUCGCCAGUGAUUUAUCGCUUUAAAUGGGAGUCAGCUGGUAUUUGAUUCCACAGUUUUGAACUCUGCAGGGUUAAUCUGGAGCCCGCUGGUACACAUGAAAUAGUUUUAUCUGCUGUUCUAAGACUGAUGAAACGUUUAAAAGAUGGUUGUGUAGUCAGUCAGUUAUCUCUCAGUGUUACAGCUUAUUCCGCUCAGCAGUGUACAAUCUCCAAAAUAAUUAUUCUGCUGUAGUUAAAACAUGGGAGCCGAAUGCAGCCACUGAUAAAAACUGCAUUCACCAAGUCCUUUUCCAAAUUGGAUGGUUCUAUUUUGUUAUCUUCUUAGAGGGAAAACAUGGGUUGUGAUGGUCAGACCUCCUGGGAGCUUGAAAGCUUAGGGCAAGGCCUGGGAGACAGAACACUUAAUCUAUUGUCAGUGGCUUUUUCUACCUUUGACCUUUUGUUUUCAGAUAAACUUGAUUAGACUAGACUUCCAUUCACUCAUCUGGAUGUAGGUAGGCUCCUUGGAAAUAAGGAUACUGAUUCUUAGAGUUUUCUUUUGUCCUAAAAGCAGUCAAAAGAUAUCUAAAGUCGGGAGGAUUUGAAAAAAAAAAAAAAAAAUUCCAGACCGGUGUCCCCUUUUUAGCAUUCUCCUUUCAUCACCAUGUAUUGAAGAAGACCUGAAAGGGAAAGGUUAUUUGGUCAGCUUCAGACCUAGCAUUUUCUGCAAAGCUCACUGAAGGAAAAGCAUCAUAGAUUUUUUUUUU